rnacentral:lncRNA from 1 species
AGUUGGUACUUGGUGCCAAGAUUUGAAAAUUUUUUAAAGUAUUUGUUUUUUAGACUUAGGCACUGCAGUGCACUCUUUAAAUCCCCAAAUGAUUACUGGUGCCAAAAUCUAGGUGCAAGAAUAUUUUCUAUUUGGUUGGUUUUCAAGGAAACCUAGUUUGGUUUUGAGACUUGGCUCGUUAUUGUUUGGUGCCAUGAUUUGGAAAUUUUUGAAAGUCCUUGUUUUUUACAUUUAGGGAUGUAAUGCACACUUUAAAUCCCGAAAUGAAGACUGGUGACAAAAAAUAGGUGCAAGCAAAUUUUCCAUUUGGUUGGUUUUCAAGCAAGCCAAGUUUCGUGAUGAGAUUUGGCUAUAUUGGUACUUGGUGCCAAGAUUUGAAAUUUUGUGAAAGUCUUGGUUUUUGAGACUUAGGGACUGCAAUGCACUCUUUAAAUCCCCAAAUGCUUACUGGUGUCAAAUCUAGGUGCAAGAAGAUUUUCAAUUUGGUUGGUUUUCAAGCAAACCUAGUUUGGUUGUGAGACUUGGCUAGGUUAUUGUUUGGUGCCAAAAUUUGGAAAUUUUUGAAAGUCUUGGUUUUUGACUUUUAGGGAUGUAAUGCA